rnacentral:rRNA from 1 species
GGUUAAGCGACUAAGCGUACACGGUGGAUGCCCUGGCAGUCAGAGGCGAUGAAGGACGUGCUAAUCUGCGAAAAGCGUCGGUAAGGUGAUAUGAACCGUUAUAGCCGGCGAUGUCCGAAUGGGGAAACCCAGUGCAAUUCGUUGCACUAUCGUUAACUGAAUACAUAGGUUAACGAGGCGAACCGGGGGAACUGAAACAUCUAAGUACCCCGAGGAAAAGAAAUCAACCGAGAUUCCCCCAGUAGCGGCGAGCGAACGGGGAGCAGCCCAGAGUCUGAAUCAGCUUGUGUGUUAGUGGAACGGUCUGGAAAGUCCGACGGUACAGGGUGAUAGUCCCGUACACCAAAAUGCACAGGCUGUGAACUCGAAGAGUAGGGCGGGACACGUGGUAUCCUGUCUGAAUAUGGGGGGACCAUCCUCCAAGGCUAAAUACUCCUGACUGACCGAUAGUGAACCAGUACCGUGAGGGAAAGGCGAAAAGAACCCCGGCGAGGGGAGUGAAAAAGAACCUGAAACCGUGUACGUACAAGCAGUGGGAGCACCUUCGGGUGUGACUGCGUACCUUUUGUAUAAUGGGUCAGCGACUUAUAUUCUGUAGCAAGGUUAACCGUAUAGGGGAGCCGCAGGGAAACCGAGUCUUAACUGGGCGUUAAGUUGCAGGGUAUAGACCCGAAACCCGGUGAUCUAGCCAUGGGCAGGUUGAAGGUUGGGUAACACUAACUGGAGGACCGAACCGACUAAUGUUGAAAAAUUAGCGGAUGACUUGUGGCUGGGGGUGAAAGGCCAAUCAAACCGGGAGAUAGCUGGUUCUCCCCGAAAGCUAUUUAGGUAGCGCCUCGUGAACUCAUCUUCGGGGGUAGAGCACUGUUUCGGCUAGGGGGUCAUCCCGACUUACCAACCCGAUGCAAACUACGAAUACCGAAGAAUGUUAUCACGGGAGACACACGGCGGGUGCUAACGUCCGUCGUGAAGAGGGAAACAACCCAGACCGCCAGCUAAGGUCCCAAAGUCAUGGUUAAGUGGGAAACGAUGUGGGAAGGCACAGACAGCCAGGAUGUUGGCUUAGAAGCAGCCAUCAUUUAAAGAAAGCGUAAUAGCUCACUGGUCGAGUCGGCCUGCGCGGAAGAUGUAACGGGGCUAAACCAUGCACCGAAGCUGCGGCAGCGACACUAUGUGUUGUUGGGUAGGGGAGCGUUCUGUAAGCCUGCGAAGGUGUGCUGUGAGGCAUGCUGGAGGUAUCAGAAGUGCGAAUGCUGACAUAAGUAACGAUAAAGCGGGUGAAAAGCCCGCUCGCCGGAAGACCAAGGGUUCCUGUCCAACGUUAAUCGGGGCAGGGUGAGUCGACCCCUAAGGCGAGGCCGAAAGGCGUAGUCGAUGGGAAACAGGUUAAUAUUCCUGUACUUGGUGUUACUGCGAAGGGGGGACGGAGAAGGCUAUGUUAGCCGGGCGACGGUUGUCCCGGUUUAAGCAUGUAGGCUGGUUAUCCAGGCAAAUCCGGAUAAUCAAGGCUGAGGUGUGAUGACGAGGCACUACGGUGCUGAAGUAACAAAUGCCCUGCUUCCAGGAAAAGCCUCUAAGCAUCAGGUAACAUUAAAUCGUACCCCAAACCGACACAGGUGGUCAGGUAGAGAAUACCAAGGCGCUUGAGAGAACUCGGGUGAAGGAACUAGGCAAAAUGGUGCCGUAACUUCGGGAGAAGGCACGCUGGUGUGUAGGUGAAGUCCCUGCGGAUGGAGCUGAGACCAGUCGAAGAUACCAGCUGGCUGCAACUGUUUAUUAAAAACACAGCACUGUGCAAACACGAAAGUGGACGUAUACGGUGUGACGCCUGCCCGGUGCCGGAAGGUUAAUUGAUGGGGUUAUCCGUAAGGAGAAGCUCUUGAUCGAAGCCCCGGUAAACGGCGGCCGUAACUAUAACGGUCCUAAGGUAGCGAAAUUCCUUGUCGGGUAAGUUCCGACCUGCACGAAUGGCGUAAUGAUGGCCAGGCUGUCUCCACCCGAGACUCAGUGAAAUUGAACUCGCUGUGAAGAUGCAGUGUACCCGCGGCAAGACGGAAAGACCCCGUGAACCUUUACUAUAGCUUGACACUGAACAUUGAGCCUUGAUGUGUAGGAUAGGUGGGAGGCUUUGAAGCGUGGACGCCAGUCUGCGUGGAGCCAACCUUGAAAUACCACCCUUUAAUGUUUGAUGUUCUAACGUUGGCCCCUGACCGGGGUUGCGGACAGUGUCUGGUGGGUAGUUUGACUGGGGCGGUCUCCUCCCAAAGCGUAACGGAGGAGCACGAAGGUUAGCUAAUCCUGGUCGGACAUCAGGAGGUUAGUGCAAUGGCAUAAGCUAGCUUGACUGCGAGCGUGACGGCGCGAGCAGGUGCGAAAGCAGGUCAUAGUGAUCCGGUGGUUCUGAAUGGAAGGGCCAUCGCUCAACGGAUAAAAGGUACUCCGGGGAUAACAGGCUGAUACCGCCCAAGAGUUCAUAUCGACGGCGGUGUUUGGCACCUCGAUGUCGGCUCAUCACAUCCUGGGGCUGAAGUAGGUCCCAAGGGUAUGGCUGUUCGCCAUUUAAAGUGGUACGCGAGCUGGGUUUAGAACGUCGUGAGACAGUUCGGUCCCUAUCUGCCGUGGGCGCUGGAGAAUUGAGGGGGGCUGCUCCUAGUACGAGAGGACCGGAGUGGACGCAUCACUGGUGUUCGGGUUGUCAUGCCAAUGGCACUGCCCGGUAGCUAAAUGCGGAAGAGAUAAGUGCUGAAAGCAUCUAAGCACGAAACUUGCCCCGAGAUGAGUUCUCCCUGAGACUUUAAGUCUCCUGAAGGAACGUUAAAGACGAUGACGUUGAUAGGCCGGGUGUGUAAGCGCAGCGAUGCGUUGAGCUAACCGGUACUAAUGAACCGUGAGGCUUAACCUU